ensembl:lncRNA
UCUGUGAAACACAGCAGGGGAUGUUUUGGGGUGGGAAAGCAUGGUUCUAUUCCACAACAAAGGAUUAAUCAAAUAUUAUCCACACAUCCACAUAUCUAAACUUUGACAAUUUGAAAGGUAAAACGUAUAGACAUUCUAAGAAUUAGAAUUUAGUUUGUGUUUUUACACAAACACAGACAUUUUAACCAACGGUAUUUUGCAGAUAUUUCAUGAAGACCCUAAAGAAUAUCUUCUUUUGAGUUCCACAGAUGAAAGAAAGUCAUACAGGUUUGGAUUGACAUGAGGGUGAGUAAACGAUGACAUCGAUGAAACGAUGAACUGUCCCUUUAAAGCCUAGUUUGCAGGUCGUGAAAAGUGGUCCACCUGUUACUCGCGGUUUCCCUCUUUCCACUGCAGGUUUCUCAGCGCACCACAGGAGAAGCUCAGAGUAAUGCUACAGACGAUUUGCUGACCUCAUGUGAAGUCUACAGAUUCAUGCCACCCGCCCGCUCAAGAGUAUAUCCAGCCGA